CUCAGACAGGGCUCUUAUCUGCAAAUAACAGAUACUGGCCCAGUAAAAUUAAGCAGGAAAUAAGUUUAUUGGAAGGCUGUCAGUUAUAAAAUAACCCAGAAGGCCAGCAAACCAGGGAAGAAAAUCAGAACAUAAGAAAACUGGGUAGCUGAAACCUCAGCCAAGGUAUUGAACACUGGAUCUUGUCACUUGGAUUCCACACUUGUCCCCAAAUGUGGUACCACUGUGGAUGAAAUAAAUUCUGCAUCAUCUCUGUUUCUCUGCAUCAAGGGCUGCAGAUUCAAAUUUCCAAGAUGGAGUGGAUCAGUCAACUGUUUCCACAUUAGUGCUAUAUAACAAAACCACUCCAAAAUUCAAUGGCUUAAAACCACAAUUUAUUUUUGCCCAUUUGUCUGUGGGUGAGGUAGGGAUUAGCUGAUCUCUAAGCUGUGCUUGGCUGUGCUUGGCUCUGGACUUCAGGUGAGUUCAAUCUCAACUCCUGUCUCUCAUUCUUAUUAGAUCAGUGAGUUGCCUGACAUUUCUUCUCAUUGUGAUGGCAGAAGUUCUAGAUGGCAAGCCAGAUUGUGUAAGUACAUUUCACACCUCUGCAACAUCACAUCUGCGGACAUUCUGUUGGCAAAAGCAAGUCGUAUGGCAAAUCCAGUCAAAGGGCAGUGAAAAACACUGAAAAGAGCUGUGAAGUCAAUAGCAAAAGUCGUGGGCACAGGAUAGGGUAAAGAAUUGGGACUAAUAUUUUAAUUUAUUUCAUUGACAAUUCUUUUUUUUUUAGAUGGAGUCUCACUCUGUCACCCAGGUUGGAGUGCAGUGGUACGAUUUUGGCUCACUGCAGCCUCCACCUCCUGGGUUCAAGCAAUUAUCCUGCCUCAGCCUCCCUAGUAGCUGGGAUUACAGGCGCCUGCCACUAGGCCCGGCUAAUUUUUGUAUUUUUAGUAGAGACGGGGUUUCACCAUGUUGGCCAGGCUGGUCUCGAACUCUUGGCCUCAAGUGAUCCACCGGCCUUGGCCUUCCAAAGUGCUGGGAUUACAGGCAUGAGCCACCGCACCCAGCCUCCAGUGAUAAUUCUUAUUGGUCAAGUUCAAAUCUUAUGAUAGUGCCCUAGCUGUCAAGGGAUAAGUAGUGCAAGUUAUUUGGUCCUAUUUUUGUAGAGAAGAAAGCCCUUAUCCUCCACCAAGAUUCACACAAUGACAGAGUCCUCAUAUAGCAAAAGAGUUUAAAUGCUGAGCAGCCAUCAAAGUAACAAAUUUGCAUCCUAAGUGGCUAAUUAUUAUGUUUUUACUCUCUCUUCAGUGGUGUUCAGGUAGAUGGUAAAGAAGUGUCGUAACUGAAAAGUGGAAGUUAAAUCAAAGUAGGGAUUUGGAGACUUGGAUUGCAUAGUAGGAAAAGAGGAGAAAACAUUCUCUGCAGAGAAAUGACAAUGAGAUAAUCAUACUUGUGGCCAGGUGCAACGGCUGCCACCUGUAAUCCCAACACUAUGGAAGGCCAAAGCAGGAGAAUUACUUGAGGCCAUGAGUUCAGGACUAACCUGAGUAACAUAGCAAGACCUAAUUUCUACAAAAAAAAAAAAAAAGAAAAGAAAAGAAAAAAAAAUUAGCUGGGCGUGGUGGCACAUGCCUGUAGUCUUAGCUACUCCAGAGGCUCAGGCAGGAGGAUUGCUUGAGCCCAGGAGUUUGAGGUUACAAUGAUUGCACCACUGCACUCCAGCCUGGGUGACAGAGAAAGGCCCUGUCUCAAAGAGCAACAAUAACAACAACAAGAAAAAAAAAAAAAAAAAAAAAAAACGGAGAAUCAUACUUGCAAGACCUUUGCCCUGAAUCCACACAGAACCUUGAAUCAAUAUUCUAUUGAUCUCUUGUCUUUGUACUCCGGGCUUACUGGAAGCAAAUAUAUGUGAAAUGGAAAGAAAGGAACACUCUUAUUCAUAAAGAUGUUCAAUCCCCUGCAUACACGUAACCUAAGAGCAACAAUUAAACUCCCUCGAAAACACAUCAUGUAAGUCUUCUGCCAAACACCACCUUUUUGCCUCUUAAGAAUGUUAGGACUAGGCACAGUGGCUCACACUUGUAAUCCCAGCACUUGAGGAGGCCAAGGCCAUGGGAUGGUUUGAGACGAGCCUGGGCAACACAGGGAGACCUUGGCCCUUUAACAAUUAUUACUUGUACUCCUCUCUGAGAACAAAAACAAAAAUGCAGGCAAAUCUCAUUUAAUUCUACCUCUAGUCUCUUGAUUUCUGUAACCUUUCUAAAUGUGACUUCAGGCAUAAGUAUGUGUUGGGCAAAGAAUCCAGAGUUAACACAAGUUUGCUGAGGAUGAGAAUGUGGAGCCAAGCGGUGAGCUGGUUCAUGGGUAACCAGUUGCACCACACCUUUCAGAAAGGCAUGGUUGGGCCGGUACACAGCUGUGCUCCAGGAAAGGGACCUUGCACUGCUUCCUCCUCCUUUUUACAGGUCAGGUGUGAAAGCACCUUUGGUUGGGGGAAUGAAUGUUUUACAUUCAGCUGCCAAGCAAAAUAAGUCAGUUAGUUGGGGGCAGUGAUAGAAGAUACAAGCCUCUCAGCACCUGGUGAUUUUGGGGAUUCAAGUUCCUAUGAGAAGUUGAAUUCAGACACGGCCCCCACCCCUCCAACCAGGGCAAGGUCCAUCUAGAUUGUUGCUGGAGACAGUUCUAGGGUCAUUCACUGGAAAACCCUGCAAGGCUUAGAGAUGGGCCAGUUAUUUUAUUAAUACUGUUACGGCGAAAGGGACUCAUAAGAGGGCUCAAAUUUGUAAAUAAGAAGCUGUUCCUAUUGCUAUUGAUGAACAUUUGUUAUACUCACUUCUCCAGAUAAGAAACAGGUUCCAGGGGACUCUUUCAAGAGAGCAUCUACCAUUAACUUCACCCAGUCCCUAAGGAACAUCUAAUACAGCUUCCAUAUUCCUAGCAGUUCAAUGUAAAUGAACUAUUAAAUACAGAGGCCAUGAAACAUCUGCUAUGGCCUGGCCAUCAAAAUGCAGGUGUAAGCGCCGUACUGAGUUUUUCUUUAGUAAAUAAAAACAUUUUAGUCUGAUUAAAUUCAACAACAACAAUGGCAAAAAAAUGGACAUCUUCCUUUUGUAGAAGUUAAGUCUCUGCCCUCAUCUCUGGCACUUUCAUGGAGAUCACAUGUACUUCAGUGAUGUGUAGUUGGCACAUGUUUUCUGUACUGGACCCUCUUGAGGCACCAAUCCAGCUUCAUCUUCCUGCUUCUCUGAGAACUGC
rnacentral:lncRNA from 1 species